AGGAAAAAGAGAGCCUCCAAUCAAUCAUCUGAGGCUGAGGAGAGACCAGACGACAGAGAGAGGACACAACCAGCAGAGCAAGAUAACAUUCUGUACGCCAGCGUGGUCUUCACCAACAACCAGGCAAAACCUCUCUCAUCAUCAUCAGGUCAGCUCCACAGACACACGGAGGGAGAAGAAGUUAUUGAGUACGCUGCUGUCAAGUUUAACAGAGCCGGUAAUGCCCCGAGAACCAGAGGUCAGAAAACUAGGGAAGAUCCAGCUGCACUGUACAGCACAGUCAAGAAAACAUGAACACAUCAGCAA